UGUGUUCAUGUCUUCUCAAGGAAUGCU
rnacentral:piRNA from 1 species